ACAGACACUUUUGGUUGCUACUUGUGCAACGCACACUAAUCAACAUUUGCACUUGCAGACCAACUAAAUAGUUGCGGAGAAGCACAUUUAAUUGAUGACUUUACUAUCUUUAGCUUAGGACUUUUUAAAAGCGAAGACUGGACUCCUUAGCCAUCUUCGUGUUCAUAGGAAUGAUUAAUGGAGGAAUUCUAAAAGCGAAGACUGGACUCCUUAGCCAUCUUCGUGUUCAUAGGAAUGAUUAAUGGAGGAAUUUUAAAAGCGAAGACUGGACUCCUUAGCCAUCUUCGUGUUCAUAGGAAUGAUUAAUGGAGGAAUUUUAAAAGCGAAGACUGGACUCCUUAGCCAUCUUUGUGUUUAAAGGAUGUAGUUGAGGACAUUUAAAAAAAAAAAGAUCGGUCUCCAUGGCCAUCUUUGCUUAGGUAGAAUAAAAAAUGGACUUGGAUAUUUUUUAGAGCGAAGAUCGGACUCCACAGCCAUCUUCGUACUUAUAGGAAAGGAUAUUGUAUUAUUUUUUAAACAUGAGGAAUUUUAGCUGAGGACUAGAUGUAGUAACAGUCAUCAAUUGAUGUGUUCAUCCAAGACGAAAUAGUUGGUUAUGUCUGUGCAUUUGUAGACAACCCAGAUGAAGAUAGAGAGUAAGCUACAUCCUAUUACUCUAGAAAAAGAACAGUCUACAGAUGAAUGCAACUAGCUCCUUUGGGCUUGAAAACUCCAUAUAUCAAAAAAUAUGCAGCAAGUCAGUCUCAAGUUAUUUGAAUAGAUCAAGUAGUGGAGCAUACAGAUGGAGUAACAGGCAAGAGGUAGAGAUAUCAAGAAUUGUGCAAUCAAGUUGCAGAGCACAAUCGAUCUUUAGCAUACAGCAUACAGUUGAAUGGAACAAUUAUCUACUUAGAACAACUAUAGAAGCUACAUGUCCACAAGUUGUUUUUUUUUUCCUUUAAGG